rnacentral:rRNA from 1 species
GACGAACGCUGGCGGCGUGCUUAACACAUGCAAGUCGAACGGAAAGGCCCUGCUUGCAGGGUACUCGAGUGGCGAACGGGUGAGUAACACGUGGGUGAUCUGCCCUGCACUUCGGGAUAAGCUUGGGAAACUGGGUCUAAUACCGGAUAGGAGCCAUCUUUAGUGUGGUGGUUGGAAAGUUUUUUCGGUGUAGGAUGAGCUCGCGGCCUAUCAGCUUGUUGGUGGGGUAAUGGCCUACCAAGGCGGCGACGGGUAGCCGGCCUGAGGGGGUGUACGGCCACACUGGGACUGAGAGAAGGCCCAGGCGCCUACGGGAGGCAGCAGGGGGGAAUAUUGCACAAGGGGCGCCAGCCGGAUGCAGCGACGCCGCGGGGGGGAUGAAGGCCUUCGGGUUGUAAACUCCUUUCGCUAGGGACGAAGCUUUUUGUGACGGUACCUAGAGAAGAAGCACCGGCUAACUACGUG